UGUGCUAGAUGUUUGUUAUUACAGUGUUAGGAUGGACAUUUUCUUUUACUUUAAUGUUGUCUAGUAUUUUUGGCAGUGUUAAUUUUACUGUGAUGGUAGCUUAGGUUAGUUGGUUGAUUGUUAAUAAAGUUUCUGUUUGCAUUCGUCUUUUGAUUUAGUUCAUCCGGAUUCACAAACCUUUCACAACCCCCUAACUACGUGUUUGACCUAAUUCUCGAACCACAGUUUGGUCCUUGAGAGACGACCUAGGAGUCAUUCCCUAGCUAUACUGCAUUUCUCAUAUGCAAUCAAAUUUGUAUGGGCUGCGACACCCAUCAAAAGCGGUUUCCCUCUAAUCGCCUGGACGUUCGGUGUGAACGCUUGAGCGAGAAGCAGUGACUACACCCUUGAGUCUGGCGCUCAGCGAUGGAUUUUGACGCUGAGUGGUGCAUUGAUUCUUCUUUUCUUCCUUUUUCUCCUUCUUUCUUGAGUCUAAGUCCUUCUUACUUCACUUCCAUCUUUAAUUCUCAUCAAAACCCU
rnacentral:lncRNA from 1 species